UCCCUUGUAGCUCAGUCGGUAAAGAAUCUGCCUGCAGUGCAGGAGACCUGGGUUCAAUCCCUGGAUUGGGAA
rnacentral:tRNA from 1 species